rnacentral:rRNA from 1 species
AACGCGAAGAACCUUACCUACUCUUGACAUCCAGAGAACAUUCCAGAGAUGGAUUGGUGCCUUCGGGAACUCUGAGACAGGUGCUGCAUGGCUGUCGUCAGCUCGUGUUGUGAAAUGUUGGGUUAAGUCCCGCAACGAGCGCAACCCUUAUCCUUUGUUGCCAGCGAUUCGGUCGGGAACUCAAAGGAGACUGCCGGUGAUAAACCGGAGGAAGGUGGGGAUGACGUCAAGUCAUCACGGCCCUUACGAGUAGGGCUACACACGUGCUACAAUGGCGUAUACAGAGGGAAGCGAUAGUGCGAGCUGGAGCGAAUCUCACAAAGUACGUCUAAGUCCGGAUUGGAGUCUGCAACUCGACUCCAUGAAGUCGGAAUCGCUAGUAAUCGCAAAUCG